CUGCACGCUUGCAAAGUCUGCCGCCCGGCUUGCUUGUAAGUUUCCACGAGUUGGUGACUGUGCGUUCCGCUAGGCGAGUUCGGAACGCUGUCCAAGGAGGUACCCGUGGGGCCAUUUUGCCUGGCUGUUGUGGCGGGUGCUGCCGCUGUGUCGACAGAGGAGACUGAUAACAGUACCUCACGAAGCAUGGCCCCUGCACCGAAUUUUGUUUUGGGCCACUCGCUACAGGUGCUGGCAAAAAGCGUUCGUGCUCACUAGACUUUCUGUGAGAGAAAUCCUCAGCAGGACUUGUGAGAGGAGUCGUGAGAGAAGUAGUGUAAAUAGGUGUUUUGAUUCUACCAAAUUUAAUCAGGCAGCAGUGUGCAGUGGCAACUCAGAGAGCUGGAGCUGCAGCAACUUCCAGGGUGCCUGGGACCUGCCCACAGCCAGAGAGAUCGACCCAAGGAAGCAAGACCAGGUUGCUGCCACAACUGUCACCACUGGGUGCUCCUGUCUGCCAGAGUCAAGCUACCUGGUCUUCCCUCAGCUCUGGCCGCCUCAGCCUCAAUAAACUGAAACCAGUACAUGUUUGGCUGCAUCUCUCUGGGCCUCCCAGUUGGCUGCGCUGGGAUGAAUAGAUCCAGAAGGCAGCAGAGGCCUGAACGUGGGUGUGGAGGACUUGCAGGUAGAGAAAUCCAGAAGCUUUGAAGUCACAAGAAGAGAAGAGACUGCAAGAAGUGAAGGCAAGGUUUGCCUGUGAGAAUGUCUUCUGCCUUCAAGUGUCAGAGAUAGGGUCUGGAGAACUGGCUCAUUCAUGGUCAUUUUUAUAGUCUCUCACAAUAAGCCUCAUUUUUGAGCAAAGUUUGAUAUAAUUAUUUAGUUUCACCAAGGAAAAACAGCAUCAACAAUAAAAUAAUGGUUUAUGGUUUGAGGUAAAAGAAAGUUAAUCAUAUUUGUUGGUGAAAGAGGCUUUGGAAAACACCAUCAAAAUCGUGAUGAUAAGGCACCUAUGAAAACAACUGGGUAUAUUUGAAAGACAAUCAUUUAAUGCACAAUUAACAAAGAAAAGGCGUUGUACAGCACUUUAAAUUUAUUUUUGCAAUAGGUGCAAUGAUGUAGCAUACUUAUCCAUUUAAUUAAAAAUAAUAUUUCUUUUUUUUUGCAAAAGCAAUAUACACACAUCGAACUAACUCCAAAAAUAUAAGUGGAAGUUCCCAAAAAUCUUAUCCCACAGAGAUAACAAACACUUUUUAUUAGGGCAUGGAACCAUUUCGAGAUACUACAUUUCCAGAAGUUAAUGUUUAUACCUUACAAAUAUGUGAACUUUCAGACUUAGUGAUGAGUUUUUGCUAGAAGCAUACAUCUAAUUUUAUUAUGUAGAUGUAAUUUUUUUAUAUCGGAAAGCUAGCAUUAAUUUGGGAUAUGAAUUAGUAAAGCUUCUUUCCACUCUACCUAUUGGAUAUGCCUAAUUAAUAGGUACCUCCCCACCUUUUUAAUAGCUACUCUUCUGUAGCUAGUGAUCACCAGGAGCAUUAGCUUCAAAUAUAGACGAGAAUGAUGCUGGGAACUAUUAUCUAGAUAUCAGCCAGUCAAAAAACUAAAAUACUAUACAAUGAUGAUUGCUAUUCACACUGUACCUUGGAUUAUCCAACUAAGAUUAGAUCCUUCUCGAGAUGGUUUUAAUAUUGAAUAGUAUAAUUUAGGUUUUUAGAAACGAGUGACCCGCAUAUUUGCUAAAAGAGUUAGCUAUAAAUAUGUCUUACUCAACUGAAAAGCUUAUGAACUGGAAGACCCCAUUUCCCCCAGCCAUUUUGAGUAACUCAGAAUUAGCUGAACAUUUGCUUACAGAUCUAUCAUUGAUGCACUGAAUUGUUUUUCUCAUAGUGAGAAUGGAUUUAGUCAUGUUUGUCUCUUCUGUAGGUCAGCCUCACACAUGAAUAAGAUGUCAGCUCACUUGUGCUGCUGGAACCCCUGACCUUGUUCACAUUAGCAAAUAAUUCAUAUGUUAGUACUAUUGGCAUAUGUCAGUAUUACCUUAGCCUAUGAAAUAUGUGGAAGGAUGUUUAAAGUCUUAAAAACAAAAGUAAUGAGAUACUUUAUCCUGUGUAAAUAAUACCUCAGUAAAAUUAUUUCAAACAGA